rnacentral:rRNA from 1 species
CAGCCGCCGCGGGAAUACAGAGGGUGCGAGCGUUAAUCGGAUUUACUGGGCGUAAAGCGUGCGUAGGCGGCUUCUUAAGUCGGAUGUGAAAUCCCUGAGCUUAACUUAGGAAUUGCAUUCGAUACUGGGAAGCUAAAGUAUGGGAGAGGAUGGUAGAAUUCCAGGUGUAGCGGUGAAAUGCGUAGAGAUCUGGAGGAAUACCGAUGGCGAAGGCAGCCAUCUGGCCUAAUACUGACGCUGAGGUACGAAAGCAUGGGGAGCAAACAGGAUUAGAUACCCCCGUAGUCCCUGUCUCUUAUAC